rnacentral:rRNA from 1 species
UACAGAGGAUGCAAGCGUUGUUCGGAAUCAUUGGGCAUAAAGGGCGUGUAAGCGGUUUGUUAAGUCAUAUGUGAAAUCCCCCGGCUCAACCGGGGAACGACGCAUGAAACUGACAAACUAAAAUACCAAAGAGGGGGGUGGAAUUCCCGAUGUAGCGGUGAAAUGCGUAGAUAUCAAAAGGAACACCUAUGGCGAAGGCAACCCCCUGGUUGGAUACUGACGCUGAGACGCGAAAGCGUGGGGAGCAAAC